GGGUGACGCACGACUAACACAAUUUUAGUAUUUAAUCCUUACAGUAGUUAAAUGAUAACAUUUGAAAGAAACUGAUUCUGUCAGUAUAUCGGAAGCUAUUGAGUAAGAGGUUGGUCUGGAUGGAACACGUAGAAGUUUUCUUCCUCUGGAGAUUAAAGUUGGAAGCAAUUUCCUUGAGACCAAAACACUAGCAGCACUUACAGUCACAAUGGCGACCAUUGCCAAUCUAUUUUAAAUCUGACAGUUCUAUGGUUGGCUGUACAACGAUGACUCAAAUUCGUGACCGCAGUUUCUGAUCGUAGCAGUGGGAGCAAUUCAAAAGACACCCAUGUCUCAUGUAUUG